rnacentral:rRNA from 1 species
GUGGGGAAUAUUGGACAAUGGGCGAAAGCCUGAUCCAGCCAUGCCGCGUGUGUGAAGAAGGUCUUCGGAUUGUAAAGCACUUUAAGUUGGGAGGAAGGGCAGUAAGUUAAUACCUUGCUGUUUUGACGUUACCGACAGAAUAAGCACCGGCUAACUUCGUGCCAGCAGCCGCGGUAAUACGAAGGGUGCAAGCGUUAAUCGGAAUUACUGGGCGUAAAGCGCGCGUAGGUGGUUUUGUAAGUUGGAGGUGAAAUCCCCGGGCUCAACCUGGGAACUGCCUCCAAAACUGCAUGACUAGAGUACGAUAGAGGGGAGUGGAAUUUCCUGUGUAGCGGUGAAAUGCGUAGAUAUAGGAAGGAACACCAGUGGCGAAGGCGACUACCUGGACUGAUACUGACACUGAGGUGCGAAAGCGUGGGGAGCAAACAGGAUUAGAAACCCCAGUAGUCC